UUACGGCCAUAUCACGUUGAAACACCGGUUCACGUACGAUCACUGAAGUCAAGCAAUGUUCAGCCUGAUCAAUACCUAUAUGGGUGACCAUUUGGGAUUAACAGGUCCUGUA